AUUGAACGCUGGCGGCAGGCCUAACACAUGCAAGUCGAGCGUGCGGCGGACGGGUGAGGACUGUAUGGGGAUCCGCCCGAUAGCGGGGGAUAACUACUGGAAACGGCAGCUAAUACCGCAUACUAUCCGAUGUCCCCAUAGGGGAUUAGCUAGUGGGGGGGGUAAUGGCUCACCUAGGCGACGAUCCCUAGCUGGUCUGAGAGGAUGAUCGGCCACACUGGGACGGAGACACGGCCCAGACUCCUACGGGAGGCAGCAGUGGGGAAUAUUGUGCAAUGGGCGAAAGCCUGAUGCAGCCAUGCCGCGUGUAUGAAGAAGGCCCUAGGGUUGUAAAGUACUUUCAUUCGGGAGGCGGUACCGACAGAAGAAGCAACGGCUAACUCCGUGCCAGCAGCCGCGGUAAUAC
rnacentral:rRNA from 1 species